AGGGUUUGAUUCUGGCUCAGGAUGAACGCUGGCGGCGUGCUUAACACAUGCAAGUCGAACGGGAAUUACUUUAUUGAAACUUCGGUCGAUAUGAUUUAAUUCUAGUGGCGGACGGGUGAGUAACGCGUGGGUAACCUGCCUUAUACAGGGGGAUAACAGUCAGAAAUGACUGCUAAUACCGCAUAAGCGCACAGAGCCGCAUGGCUCCGUGUGAAAAACUCCGGUGGUGUGAGAUGGACCCGCGUUGGAUUAGCCAGUUGGCAGGGUAACGGCCUACCAAAGCGACGAUCCAUAGCCGGCCUGAGAGGGUGGACGGCCACAUUGGGACUGAGACACGGCCCAG
rnacentral:rRNA from 1 species